GGCGUGCUUAACACAUGCAAGUCGAACGAGAACGGUUCCUUCGGGGACUCAGUAAAGUGGCGCACGGGUGAGUAACGCGUAAGUAAUCUACCCUUGCAUCUGGAACAACUACGGGAAACUGUAGCUAAUACCGGAUACGUUCAUAUAGUUACGACUAUAUGAAGAAAGAUGGCCUCUUCUUGAAAGCUAUCGUGCAGGGAGGAGCUUGCGUACCAUUAGCUAGUUGGUAGGGUAAUGGCCUACCAAGGCGACGAUGGUUAGCGGGUCUGAGAGGAUGAUCCGCCACACUGGAACUGGAACACGGACCAGACUCCUACGGGAGGCAGCAGUGAGGAAUAUUGCGCAAUGGGGGAAACCCUGACGCAGCGACGCCGCGUGGAUGAUGAAGGCCUUUGGGUCGUAAAAUCCUGUCAGAUGGGAAGAAAUGCAUAUGUACUAAUACUACUUAUGUUUGACGGUACCAUCAAAGGAAGCACCGGCUAACUCCGUGCCAGCAGCCGCGGUAAUACGGAGGGUGCAAACGUUGUUCGGAAUUACUGGGCGUAAAGCGCGCGUAGGCGGUUUGUUAAGUCAGAUGUGAAAGUCCAUGGCUCAACCAUGGAAGUGCAUUUGAAACUGGCAGACUUGAGUACUGGAGGGGGGUGGUGGAAUUCCCGGUGUAGAGGUGAAAUUCGUAGAUAUCGGGAGGAAUACCGGUGGCGAAGGCGACCAUCUGGCCAGAUACUGACGCUGAGGUGCGAAAGCGUGGGGGAGCAAACAGGAUUAGAUACCC
rnacentral:rRNA from 1 species